rnacentral:rRNA from 1 species
UACGUAGGGUGCGAGCGUUAAUCGGAAUUACUGGGCGUAAAGCGUGCGCAGGCGGUUUUGUAAGCCAGAUGUGAAAUCCCCGGGCUUAACCUGGGAAUGGCAUUUGGGACUGCAAGGCUUGAGUGCGGCAGAGGAGACUGGAAUUCCUGGUGUAGCAGUGAAAUGCGUAGAUAUCAGGAGGAAUACCGAUGGCGAAGGCAGGUCUCUGGGCUGACACUGACGCUCAUGCACGAAAGCGUGGGGAGCAAAAGGG